UAGGGAAUCUUCCACAAUGGACGAAAGUCUGAUGGAGCAACGCCGCGUGAGUGAAGAAGAUCUUCGGAUCGUAAAGCUCUGUUGUUGGUGAAGAAGGAUAGAGGCAGUAACUGGUCUUUAUUUGACGGUAAUCAACCAGAAAGUCACGGCUAACUACGUGCCAC
rnacentral:rRNA from 1 species